GACGUAGGAGGCGAGCGUUGUCCGGAGUUACUGGGCGUAAAGCGCGCGCAGGCGGCCCUGUGCGCUGCCGGUGAAAGCUCCCGGCUUACCUGGGAGAGGUUCGGCAGGACGGCAGGGCUGGAGGGUGGGAGAGGUCGGUGGAAUUCCCGGUGUAGUGGUGAAAUGCGUAGAGAUCGGGAGGAACACCCGUAGCGAAGGCGGCUCUCUGGUCCGAAACUGACGCUGAGGUGCGAAAGCUAGGGUAGCAAACAGG
rnacentral:rRNA from 1 species